CUGGGUUCUCCCAGCCACUCUGGGUGAUAUCAAACAUUUAAAAGUUCCCUGAACAGGGCUGCCUUCAGAUGUCUUCUAAAAGUCAGAUAGUUGUUUAUUUCCUUGACAUCUGACAGGAGGGUGUUUCACAGGGUGGGCGCAACUACCGAGAAUGAAGAGGAAGAGGAAUGAAAGAAAAUUAUGAGACUGAGGGAAAAAAGAGAAAGAAAGGGACAGCUGAAAAGAGAAAAUGCUAGUGGCCAAUAGUUGAAAGAGAAAGGAGCAGAUAGCAACAGUGUCUCAGUUUAAUAAUAAUUUGAGAUUUUUCAUACAAGAUAAUAUUGUAGCAUUUCAGUAAUAUUUCAUUUAGAGAGCUUUGCAGAGCUCUGCAUGCAAUGCUUAGAAAUGUUUUGCAAGUGUAGCUCUUACCGUUUGCCCUGCGCUUUUCUGGUCUGUUUUUGAGCUCAUUUCUUCUUCCCUGGCGCUUCCCCCUGGAAAACCUGAUCUUUACCACUCAAUCAAAUUGCAAAUAGCAAUUUGGGUUUCCCCUGGAAUGCCGUUUGCUCCGAUUCAGCUGUCAAUAGUGGGAUUUUGCUGGGCAAAAGAGAAGUGUGUUUGUAGUAGCUGUUAGUGCUUACUGUCAACUAUCCUUCAGUGUAUAGUAGGAAUAGUUAUUCAAGAAUGUCGGGAGAUUAAAUUAUUCUACUCCCUUCAGAGCAGCAGAAGUUCCUUACAAUUCCCAAACUCACUACUUUCCUAUGCCUUUUUUAAAUGGUUCAGCACUUUUGAAAUAAACAAUUAUUCUGGAAUCUGGAUAUUAUGGCAUACUGAGGGAGGGAUUUCAAUUUCUAUAUCCCCUUAGCCCCCUCCCCCGUUGAAGUGUUUCUUGUGAUUAACAACCGCAGGAGGGGGGAGAGCUGGGCUACGCUAUCUGGCUGCACCUGCUGCCGGUAUCUCCUGCUUGCCUCAUUCCUUAGCUGUCCACACACUGGUGGAAUAUCUGUCGUGGGGAAGACUUCUAAGUGCCCUCAGGCUCUCCUUCUUGUCUAGAAACUUGUACAGUCAGGAUCCAGAUCACCCAGAGAGUCUAUGCAAGCUGAGCAGGCUUCCUUGUUGCUGACAUUCCCCCAGCAUGUAGCCCCCAGGGACAUGGCAGCUAGCCUGAACCUACCCAUUCAUGUGAUUUCUAUUUGUAUGAGGAAGAACAUGUCAGAGGAAAUGAAGACUCUGGAGCUCUCAAGAACUUUUAUGGGUCAUGCAGCAAGGACAGAUGCACUUGCCUUCUCUUAAAAUGCUUUUACUAGUUCCUGCAGACAGUUAUUUUGUAAACAUUACAGGACCAACGGACAUACAAAUUUCAUUCUGAAUGGAAAUGUGAUUGCUUUUAUUUCCAGUGAAACUUGCACAGGCCAAUCCAUUUUAAAGCUGAAAGCUAUCCUGGAAAGCCGAAAGAUAAAUGUCUCUUGUGAAGAUAAUUACAGGUAAUUUUGUGUACCGGGUUAUCAACAUGUUUUUAAACAGCGAAGGCAAAAUUAGAUGUAUGGAGGGGCAUAAAUCACACAUACCCAUUCACUUGGAUAUAAGGGGAGGGUGGGGAGUCUACCCAAAAAAUUGGAGUGGUGAGCCUUUCUGCCCUUUACCCUAGUUGUUCCUGGGGGUGAGGUUUUUUCAUCCUUUGAAAUUCAAAGUAUGGCCUUUGUGCAAAUAAGAAUCUAGAGAUGGAAUAGUGUCAUAACUGCUUAAUUUCUUAAAGGAGACGUUUCAGUAGGGCGUUUCAGUUCAGAAAAGCUUUGAUUCCUCUGUAAGAGCUGAGUGUUAGCUCUUGGUGCUUCUGCAGCCCAGCCUGUUUUUUGCUGAAGUAGCGGCACCAAAGUGACCUCCCCAGAGUGCAAGCCGGGGCAGUGUUGAUGGAGGUUCUGAGCUGCCGUGAGGACCAGACCUCCCUCUCAUCCUUGCUGAUGUGGCCCAAAGGAAAGCAGAGCAGCACGUUUGGCCCAACCUGUGCAGAUAGUUAACUUUCCAGCCUGAUAGGGCAAUGAAAGCUUUCUGAAACUGUGGUUCACAGUUUAUUCCAGGGGUCGGCAAAGCUGCAAAGCCUUGGGCCGGUAAACUGCCCCCGAAACCUUGGGGCAGGCCGGAGUAGGCGCAUGGGUGCGGGCGGGCGCACAUGCGAACAUCCCGGUUUCCUUGCUGCCAGAGGUGGCGGUGGAGGAGGUGUCCGCAGCUUCCUAUUGGCUGCAGGAAGCUCCUGCAACAAUAGGAAGCCAUGGCUGUGCCACACUGCACCAGUUUAGCUCCGUGCGGGGACUGGCUGAGUGGGCAGGCCUAGUUAAAUGACCACCCCCAGGGCAGAUGUGGCCCAGGGGCCAUAGUUUGCCAACCCCUGGUUUAUUCUGUUAUAUGACACAAUGGAAUAGCCCUCAUGUUGUGAAGACAGAAAGACAGGGAUAUCUGAGAUUAUUUAAGUAAUUAUUUUAUUAAAUGGCACUAAAUGCAAAUGAAGUUGCAAGUGUAUUUCUUAUGUCUUGUAACAGGCCAGUUCGGUUGCUUCAGUGUACCAGUAAUCCUGGCCACGCCAGCUGCGAUGUCUGUUCCUGAAAACAUGGUAGGUACCCUAUGCUGCUUAUAUUGUUGUUCAACUUUGUAUAGUAUGGAAUGGCGUUUCUAGAGGAAGUCAGAUAUAAAAGCUCAACUAGCUAUCAUUGUGAAAGACCUGUGUAGUUUAAACCCAGGCCUGCUACAAACUAGAUCCAGACUAAUUUAAAUUCCACUCUCAAAGGGUCUACUUUAAGCAUGAAAAUCUUUGGGUCCAGUUCAUAGAGAGAAGGGGCUGGAAGGGAAGAAUGGAAAACUCUUCUCCUACUGUUUGUCAUCCAAGAUAAUGGAAAGAUUUGAUAGGCUGUUUUUAUUUAUUUAGUGCAUUUAUCUUCUGCCCUUCUUCCAAAGAUCUCCAAGUGACAAAUGUGUUCUUCCCCCUGCCAUUUACUUUCACACAAAAACUGUGAGGUAAAGGUUAGACUGAGAGAUACCUACUGGCCCAAUAUUGCCUAGGGAGCUAAGUGGGGAUUUGAACAUGAGUCCAGAUCAACACUCCAACCUCUGCAACAAAAGUGGGGAACCUCCAUCCUGUGGGUCAGAUUUGGUAAGGUAGAACUCUCCAUUUUAACUGCAAGGCUGUAUUCUCCAAACCACACCCACCUACCCCACAUCUGACAUAAUAUGUGGUGUUAGGUGUAGGGGUAGAUGCCAUGCCCGGGGCUGGAAAGAAGUCCCUAUGCAUCAGUUCCUUGCUUCACCCACUUGUCAGUCACCUGGCAUCAUUAUGGAGAGAUCAAGAUUUGGCCUGCCAGGCCAAAACUGUUGCCCAAUCCCGCACUACACCACAUUAGCUCUUGUUUCAGCUACAGAUGAGGAUAAACAAAGGGCCCAUUACAGCCCCUGUAGUUAAUGCUAAGCUUUCCCUUGUGCUCAUUACUGCAGAGGACCUCAGCAUCGGAGGAAGACAAAGAAGAAAAAAUCCACACACUUGAAGCAAGACCCAAAAAUGUCACAGCAAAUGAUUUCUAGACAAAAAGGAGCAAGAAGUUCUCUACAACUACAAGACUCUCCUGAAGCUGGCAUCACUUGGUCAAUCUUCCAAGUACAAACUCUUCAGGACAAGUUCAAGAGGGGUUUUAAUUGAAGUUGCAAUGGGAUAUGGCAUCAUGCCUUGAAGGACUGUUUUGAAGGAAAAAAAUGUUACUGCACUGAAUAGGAGGUUUUAUUCCUUUACAUAUGGGAAACCGUUGGGGUUAUUUAAUAAAGGCAAAAUCCAAAUGCAGUACACAUCAGAUUAGUCUACCUGCUCUUGAAGGGUUUGAUUUUAUCCUUUCUUCUUUACAUUUGAUACGUUUCAUAAUUUUUGCAAGAAGCGGGCACACUAGGACCUUGCUAAGUACCGUAUUUUUCGCUCCAUAGGGCGCACCGGACCAUAGGGCGCACCUAGUUUUUAGGGGGGGGGGAUAAAGAAAAUUAUCCCCCCCCAGCCCCAAAGAGCAAAGAAGCCAAGACAGUGAGCGGGAUCCAUCCUGCUGGCUGUCUUGG